rnacentral:lncRNA from 1 species
GGAAGACUGGGUCUUCAAACAACCCCUAGAACCAGCAUGUGUGUCUUCCUAAAAACUGUUAAUGAGUUAGGACUGACACUGAAAUCAUCAUCUAUUUCCUAGUGGGGGAGAAGGAGAUUGGAGGAUGGGCCAGGCCGCCACCACCACCACCACCACCAUCACCAUCAACAACAACAACUACAACAACAAAAUCCUUUCAUUUUCCAUCUCUUUUCAAUCAGAAAGGUCCUAGCACCAACCCAGACAUAAAAGGACUGUAACAAUUGAUGGAUGGGAAGAGGGAUGGGCUUGGACUGUGACCCAUCAAUCAAGCACCUCCUGGAGCUGUCUGACGAGCUGGAUUGACACUGCUAAGGGUGGAAGAGAGCAUGCUGCAUUGGGAAAGAAGGAGCCAUUUAGGCUUGAGCACAAGAGGAAAAAGGGAAGCAAAAGUAAUUUGUUUCUUGAAAUAAAAUCAGCUUCCUUUUUAUUGAUCUUGAGAAAGAAAGUGACAGAGACAAACUGAAUGCAUGUGGACCCCAAAAGCCCUCCUGUGAACGUUUUAGGUGAUUCAUACAGCUGGGCUUCAAACUUCUCACUUAGUAUUGUACAUCUGUCUGUGUGCCAGGCUUCAUGUCUCCUGGGACAGCGAAUCCUGGCCGGGAUAGGAAGAGCAUCCACACCUG